UACGAAGGGGGCUAGCGUUGCUCGGAAUGACUGGGCGUAAAGGGCGCGUAGGCGGUUCGUACAGUCAGACGUGAAAUUCCCGGGCUCAACCUGGGGGCUGCGUUUGAUACGUGCGGGCUUGAGUUCGGAAGAGGGUCGUGGAAUUCCCAGUGUAGAGGUGAAAUUCGUAGAUAUUGGGAAGAACACCGGUGGCGAAGGCGGCGACCUGGUCCGUUACUGACGCUGAUGCGCGAAAGCUAGGGGAGCAAACGGG
rnacentral:rRNA from 1 species